rfam:Changjiang polero-like virus 1 strain CJLX30310 hypothetical protein 1, hypothetical protein 2, and hypothetical protein 3 genes, complete cds.
CACACCCUAGCCAGUAACAGUUGUUGCAAUAGCUGGAAGGGUAAAGCCAACGAAAG